rnacentral:lncRNA from 1 species
GACUGGAGAGGCCAGCAGGCACAGUGACUUAAUCCAAGAAGAUGGAAUAAGAAGGCCUACCUCAUUGGGCUCUUGUGGGUGAGGAGAACUGAAGAGUCUGAGAGCGCGGCACGAGCCAGAGGCUACGGAAAACACUGCCCUCCCACACUCCACCUUGGAGAGACCCAGAAAAGAACAAGCUUCAUUUGAAAAAAAGGAAAACAGCUCAGGCAAUGGGGGUGGCUUAAAGGCACUCUACAGUGUGCAGAUGCCUUCCACUUCUUCCAUCUGCCCUGUCUCUCCAAGAACCCCUAUGGCCCCAGGCUCAGA